GUUAUGAGUUACCACUACAAUGUCUAUUUUCCUAAAGGAUGGACUUUCUCCUGUGGAAAUAUUACUUAUGCUUAUGUCCAGGUAACAUUACAGGAGGUCCCUGUGCAAUCUCUCGCCUAACCAUGACCAUGUUUUCCAAAUCUGACCUGAUCACUAAAACCACCCAGCUAUACAAACUGCUGAGAGAUGUUAAAAACACCCUUAAUGCAGAUUGCAACCCUGAAAUAACUCUUAUCUAAAUACUCUGCCCUAGCGUACACCUUGGUAGGCGUCCCAGGCUUAGCAUUGUAUAAUACCCGACUAGUUAAUGCUGUAGCCUGUUCCCUUGCAAAAGGUUUAAAUGCCACUUCACAGGCCCUAGAAGAGCUACUUAUGGACAACCAGGCAAUUAAGAAGGCAAUCCUUGAGAAUAGAGCAGCCAUUGACUACUUACUAAUGAAACAUGACUUAGGCUGUGAAGCUAUUGAAGGUAUGUGCUGUUUUAACCUAUCUGACCAUGGCACUAUGAUCCAUAAACAUAUAAAAGAUUUACAUGACUUAGUACAGGAUAUCAAACCGUAUACUGGCUUCUUUGGGGAUUGGGAUUGGACAUUUGGGCUAGGAACAUGGUUGACUUUACUAAUUAAGAAAAUUUUGUACUUUUUGCUAUUAGUUGUAUUUGUCAUUAUGGCUAUUUUUCUAACCUUUAGAUUUUUUUCAUGUCUACUAACCUCUCUACAGGGAGUGCAGAAUUAUUAGGCAAAUGAGUAUUUUGACCACAUCAUCCUCUUUAUGCAUGUUGUCU